rnacentral:rRNA from 1 species
UUGAGUUUGAAUCAUGGCUCAGAUUGAACGCUGGCGGCAGGCCUAACACAUGCAAGUCGAGCGGUAGAAAGUAGCUUGCUACUUUUGAGAGCGGCGGACGGGUGAGUAACGCGUGGGAAUCUACCUGGUAGUGGGGGACAACUUGGGGAAACUCAAGCUAAUACCGCAUACGCCCUACGGGGGAAAGGAGGGGCUCUUCGGACCUUUCGCUAUCAGAUGAGCCUGCGUAGGAUUAGCUAGUUGGUAGGGUAAAGGCCUACCAAGGCGACGAUCCUUAGCUGGUCUGAGAGGAUGAUCAGCCACACUGGGACUGAGACACGGCCCAGACUCCUACGGGAGGCAGCAGUGGGGAAUAUUGGACAAUGGGGGCAACCCUGAUCCAGCCAUGCCGCGUGUGUGAAGAAGGCCUUCGGGUUGUAAAGCACUUUCAGUGGUGAGGAAGGGUGUAAAGUUAAUACCUUUAUACAUUGACGUUAGCCACAGAAGAGCCG